UUUUCAGUGAGGGAUGAUCUAAAGGAAGUCGCUAGCAAAACUGCGAACUGAUGAACAAGAGCAUCAUAUGAGGCGUAGGUCAGAGGCAAGUUGGCACAAGACAACGAAGCCAAGUGAUUUAAUGAUCACCGUAAAUGAUGCCGUUGUGUAGGGGCUGAGGGUUAG
rfam:Photobacterium profundum SS9 chromosome 2; segment 1/7